rnacentral:misc_RNA from 1 species
GAUGAAGAACGUAGCGAAAUGCGAUAGGUAAUGUGAAUUGCAGAAUUCAGUGAAUCAUCGAAUCUUUGAACGCACCUUGCGCCCUUUGGCCAUUCCGAAGGGCAUGCCUGUUUGAGUAUCAUGAACACCUCAACUCUCAUGGCUUGCCAUGAUGAGCUUGGACUUUGGGGGUCUUGCUGGCCUGCGGUCAGCUCCUCUCAAAUGAAUUAGCUUUCCAGUGUUUGGUUGGCAUCACAGGUGUGAUAACUAUCUACGCUUGUGGUUUCCACCAGGUAACCUUCAGUAACAUGGGGGUUUGCUGGAGCUCAUAAAUGUCUCUCCUCAGUGGGGACAGCUCUUUGAACAUUUGAUCUCAAAUCAGGUAGGACUACCCGCUGAACUUAAGCAUAUCAAUAAGCGGAGGA